rnacentral:rRNA from 1 species
UACGGGGGGGGGCAAGCGUUGUUCGGAAUUACUGGGCGUAAAGGGCGCGUAGGCGGCCUGCUAAGUCGGAUGUGAAAUCCCUCGGCUCAACCGAGGAACUGCAUCCGAUACUGGCGGGCUUGAAUCCGGGAGAGGGAUGUGGAAUUCCAGGUGUAGCGGUGAAAUGCGUAGAGAUCGGGAGGAAGGCCGGUGGCGAAGGCGGCGCUCUGGAACGUACCUGACGCUGAGACACGAAAGCGUGGGGAGCAAACAGG